AUGCGGUGCUUACCAUGCAAGUCGAACGAAUAACCCACCUUCGGGUGGUUAUAAAGUGGCGAACGGGUGAGUAACACGUGACCAACCUACCUUCUACUUUGGGAUAACUCAGAGAAAUCUGUGCUAAUACCGAAUACUCCGUAACCAUCGCAUGGUGGUUUCGGGAAAGUUCCGGCGGUAGAAGAUGGGGUCGCGGCCUAUUAGAUUGUUGGUGGGGUAACGGCCUACCAAGUCAGCGAUAGGUAGCCGGGUUGAGAGACUGAUCGGCCACAUUGGGACUGAGAUACGGCCCAGACUCCUACGGGAGGCAGCAGUGGGGAAUUUUGCGCAAUGGGCGAAAGCCUGACGCAGCAACGCCGCGUGCGGGAUGAAGGCCUUCGGGUUGUAAACCGCUUUCAGUAGGGAAGAAUUUGACGGUACCUACAGAAGAAGCUCCGGCUAACUACGUGCCAGCAGCCGCGGUAAUACGUAGGGAGCAAGCGUUAUCCGGAUUUAUUGGGCGUAAAGCGCGCGUAGGCGGUUUGUUAAGCGAAGUCUCUAAUCUGAGGGCUCAACCCCCAGCCGGACUUCGAACUGGCAGACUCGAGUUUGGUAGAGGAAGAUGGAAUUCCCAGUGUAGCGGUGAAAUGCGCAGAUAUUGGGAAGAACACCAAUGGCGAAGGCAGUCUUCUGGGCCACAACUGACGCUGAGGUGCGAAAGCUAGGGGAGCAAACAGGAUUAGAUACCCUGGUAGUCCUAGCCGUAAACGAUGGGCACUAGGUGUGGGGGAGAAUUCUCCUCUGUGCCGCAGCUAACGCAUUAAGUGCCCCGCCUGGGGAGUACGGUCGCAAGACUAAAACUCAAAGGAAUUGGCGGGGCCCGCACAAGCAGCGGAGCAUGUGGCUUAAUUCGAAGCAACGCGAAAAACUUAC
rnacentral:rRNA from 1 species